AAGUUUAGUAAAUUUGGAGUAUUUAAAUUUGGAUUCCUGCAAAAUAGGCGAUGAAGGGCUUGCCAAUUUGACAGGCCUCACUCUCUUGAGAAGUCUAGUGUUGUCAGACACUGAAAUUGGUUCCAGCGGGCUGCAUCAUAUAUCAGGUUUACACAAACUGGAAGA